GUUAGGAAUAUUGGACAAUGGACGCAAGCCUGAUCCAGCCAUGCCGCGUGAGUGAUGAAGGCCUUAGGGUUGUAAAGCUCUUUUGUCCGGGAAGAUAAUGACUGUACCGGAAGAAUAAGCCCCGGCUAACUUCGUGCCAGCAGCCGCGGUAAUACGAAGGGGGCUAGCGUUGUUCGGAAUCACUGGGCGUAAAGCGCACGUAGGCGGACCAUUAAGUCAGGGGUGAAAGCCUGGAGCUCAACUCCAGAACUGCCUUUGAUACUGAUGGUCUCGAGUAUGGAAGAGGUUGGUGGAACUGCGAGUGUAGAGGUGAAAUUCGUAGAUAUUCGCAAGAACACCGGUGGCGAAGGCGGCCAACUGGUCCAUUACUGACGCUGAGGUGCGAAAGCGUGGGGAGCAAACAGGAUUAGAAACCCUGGUAGUCC
rnacentral:rRNA from 1 species